rnacentral:rRNA from 1 species
CACGUAGGGUGCGAGCGUUGUCCGGAAUUAUUGGGCGUAAAGAGCUCGUAGGCGGUCUGUCACGUCGGCUGUGAAAACCCGAGGCUCAACCUCGGGCCUGCAGUCGAUACGGGCAAACUAGAGUGUUGCAGGGGAGACUGGAAUUCCUGGUGUAGCGGUGAAAUGCGCAGAUAUCAGGAGGAACACCGGUGGCGAAGGCGGGUCUCUGGGCAACAACUGACGCUGAGGAGCGAAAGCGUGGGGAGCGAACAGG